UCGCUGGUCCCGUUCUUAACAGAGUCGGGACAUGUGCACACCUGGCUUCAUUCCACUCUUCAACCCCUGUGCACUUGUUGUAGGUUUCAGGUCGGACGCGGGGCUUUCGACUUCAUCGUCGAGAGCCUCAAGGAAAGCCUGAGCCUAUGUUUUACCAUACACACGCUUCAGUUAUAGAAUGUAAACAUCGCGUAUAACGCAUUUUAAAUACAACUUUCAGCAACGGAUCUCUUGGCUCUCGCAUCGAUGAAGAACGCAGCGAAAUGCGAUAAGUAAUGUGAAUUGCAGAAUUCAGUGAAUCAUCGAAUCUUUGAACGCACCUUGCGCUCCUUGGUAUUCCGAGGAGCAUGCCUGUUUGAGUGUCAUGGAAUUCUCAACCUUUGAAAGCUUUUAUCGGUUCUCAAAGGCUUGGACUUGGAGGUCGUGUCGGCUCUGCAAAGAAUAUCGACUCCUCUGAAACGUAUCAGUGCGAACCUUUACGGAUCGUCUUCGGUGUGAUAAACGUCUACGCCGUGGUCGUGAAGUAUGAUCGUGUCCGUGCUUCUAACCGUCUCCUUUGCGAGACAAAAACUGUGUUACUUACUAUAAGUAACAUAGGCAUUGACAAUCUGACCUCAAAUCAGGUAGGACUACCCGCU
rnacentral:rRNA from 1 species